rnacentral:rRNA from 1 species
GAUGAACGCUAGCGGCAGGCUUAAUACAUGCAAGUCGAGGGGCAGCAUGACUGUAGCAAUACAGUUGAUGGCGACCGGCAAACGGGUGCGGAACACGUACAGAACCUUCCUUCGAGCGGGGAAUAGCCCAGAGAAAUUUGGAUUAAUACCCCAUAGUAUUACGGAGUGGCAUCACUUUGUAAUUAAAGAUUUAUCACUUGAAGAUGGCUGUGCGGCUGAUUAGGUAGUUGGCGGGGUAACGGCCCACCAAGCCUGCGAUCAGUAACUGGUGUGAGAGCACGACCAGUCACACGGGCACUGAGACACGGGCCCGACUCCUACGGGAGGCAGCAGUAAGGAAUAUUGGUCAAUGGACGAAAGUCUGAACCAGCCGUGCCGCGUGGAGGAUGAAGGUCCUCUGGAUUGUAAACUUCUUUUAUAUGGGACGAAAAAAGGCUUUUCUAAGUCGUCUGACGGUACCAUAUGAAUAAGCACCGGCUAACUCCGUGCCAGCAGCCGCGGUAAUAC